CAGUCGCCACGGUAAUACGUAGGGUGCGAGCGUUAAUCGGAAUUACUAGGCGUAAAGCGUGCGCAGGCGGUUGUGUAAGACAGGUGUGGAAUCCCCGGGCUUAACCUGGGAACUGCGCUUGUGACUGCACAGCUAGAGUAUGGCAGAGGGGGGUGGAAUUCCACGUGUAGCAGUGAAAUGCGUAGGGAUGUGGAGGAACACCGAUGGCGAAGGCAGCCCCCUGGGCCAAUACUGACGCUCAUGCACGAAAGCGUGGGGAGCAAACAGGAUUAGAUACCCGCGUAGUCCCUGUCUCUUAUAC
rnacentral:rRNA from 1 species